AUUCAGCUGACGAGUCCCAAACAGGACGAAACGCGCGUCCUGGAC
rnacentral:hammerhead_ribozyme from 1 species